rnacentral:other from 1 species
AGCUUGCUGCCUGAUGCGAUAGGGACCAAUAUCCCCAGGGCCGAUAAUCUUCGUAUAGGGAACUGUGCCUUUGUUAGACCGUGGUCUAGCAGAUACGGUGCCCACCUGUUUUACAGGGCCGCGGAGGAAUUUUUACCCACCGGUCAGUGCGGCAAGCUU